GAUUAAGUUAUUAAGGGCGCACGGUGGAUGCCUUGGCACUAGAAGCCGAUGAAGGACGUUACUAACGACGAUAUGCUUUGGGGAGCUGUAAGUAAGCUUUGAUCCAGAGAUUUCCGAAUGGGGAAACCCAGCAUGAGUUAUGUCAUGUUAUCGAUAUGUGAAUACAUAGCAUAUCAGAAGGCACACCCGGAGAACUGAAACAUCUUAGUACCCGGAGGAAGAGAAAGAAAAUUCGAUUCCCUUAGUAGCGGCGAGCGAAACGGGAAGAGCCCAAACCAACAAGCUUGCUUGUUGGGGUUGUAGGACACUCUAUACGGAGUUACAAAGGACGACAUUAGACGAAUCAUCUGGAAAGAUGAAUCAAAGAAGGUAAUAAUCCUGUAGUCGAAAAUGUUGUCUCUCUUGAGUGGAUCCUGAGUACGACGGAGCACGUGAAAUUCCGUCGGAAUCUGGGAGGACCAUCUCCUAAGGCUAAAUACUCUCUAGUGACCGAUAGUGAACCAGUACCGUGAGGGAAAGGUGAAAAGCACCCCGGAAGGGGAGUGAAAUAGAACCUGAAACCGUGUGCUUACAAGUAGUCAGAGCCCGUUAAUGGGUGAUGGCGUGCCUUUUGUAGAAUGAACCGGCGAGUUACGAUUUGAUGCAAGGUUAAGCAGUAAAUGUGGAGCCGUAGCGAAAUCGAGUCUGAAUAGGGCGUUUAGUAUUUGGUCGUAGACCCGAAACCAGGUGAUCUACCCUUGGUCAGGUUGAAGUUCAGGUAACACUGAAUGGAGGACCGAACCGACUUACGUUGAAAAGUGAGCGGAUGAACUGAGGGUAGCGGAGAAAUUCCAAUCGAACCUGGAGAUAGCUGGUUCUCUCCGAAAUAGCUUUAGGGCUAGCCUCAAGUGAUGAUUAUUGGAGGUAGAGCACUGUUUGGACGAGGGGCCCCUCUCGGGUUACCGAAUUCAGACAAACUCCGAAUGCCAAUUAAUUUAACUUGGGAGUCAGAACAUGGGUGAUAAGGUCCGUGUUCGAAAGGGAAACAGCCCAGACCACCAGCUAAGGUCCCAAAAUAUAUGUUAAGUGGAAAAGGAUGUGGCGUUGCCCAGACAACUAGGAUGUUGGCUUAGAAGCAGCCAUCAUUUAAAGAGUGCGUAAUAGCUCACUAGUCGAGUGACACUGCGCCGAAAAUGUACCGGGGCUAAACAUAUUACCGAAGCUGUGGAUUGUCCUUUGGACAAUGGUAGGAGAGCGUUCUAAGGGCGUUGAAGCAUGAUCGUAAGGACAUGUGGAGCGCUUAGAAGUGAGAAUGCCGGUGUGAGUAGCGAAAGACGGGUGAGAAUCCCGUCCACCGAUUGACUAAGGUUUCCAGAGGAAGGCUCGUCCGCUCUGGGUUAGUCGGGUCCUAAGCUGAGGCCGACAGGCGUAGGCGAUGGAUAACAGGUUGAUAUUCCUGUACCACCUAUAAUCGUUUUAAUCGAUGGGGGGACGCAGUAGGAUAGGCGAAGCGUGCGAUUGGAUUGCACGUCUAAGCAGUAAGGCUGAGUAUUAGGCAAAUCCGGUACUCGUUAAGGCUGAGCUGUGAUGGGGAGAAGACAUUGUGUCUUCGAGUCGUUGAUUUCACACUGCCGAGAAAAGCCUCUAGAUAGAAAAUAGGUGCCCGUACCGCAAACCGACACAGGUAGUCAAGAUGAGAAUUCUAAGGUGAGCGAGCGAACUCUCGUUAAGGAACUCGGCAAAAUGACCCCGUAACUUCGGGAGAAGGGGUGCUCUUUAGGGUUAACGCCCAGAAGAGCCGCAGUGAAUAGGCCCAAGCGACUGUUUAUCAAAAACACAGGUCUCUGCUAAACCGUAAGGUGAUGUAUAGGGGCUGACGCCUGCCCGGUGCUGGAAGGUUAAGAGGAGUGGUUAGCUUCUGCGAAGCUACGAAUCGAAGCCCCAGUAAACGGCGGCCGUAACUAUAACGGUCCUAAGGUAGCGAAAUUCCUUGUCGGGUAAGUUCCGACCCGCACGAAAGGCGUAACGAUUUGGGCACUGUCUCAACGAGAGACUCGGUGAAAUCAUAGUACCUGUGAAGAUGCAGGUUACCCGCGACAGGACGGAAAGACCCCGUGGAGCUUUACUGUAGCCUGAUAUUGAAAUUCGGCACAGCUUGUACAGGAUAGGUAGGAGCCUUUGAAACGUGAGCGCUAGCUUACGUGGAGGCGCUGGUGGGAUACUACCCUAGCUGUGUUGGCUUUCUAACCCGCACCACUUAUCGUGGUGGGAGACAGUGUCAGGCGGGCAGUUUGACUGGGGCGGUCGCCUCCUAAAAGGUAACGGAGGCGCUCAAAGGUUCCCUCAGAAUGGUUGGAAAUCAUUCAUAGAGUGUAAAGGCAUAAGGGAGCUUGACUGCGAGACCUACAAGUCGAGCAGGGUCGAAAGACGGACUUAGUGAUCCGGUGGUUCCGCAUGGAAGGGCCAUCGCUCAACGGAUAAAAGCUACCCCGGGGAUAACAGGCUUAUCUCCCCCAAGAGUUCACAUCGACGGGGAGGUUUGGCACCUCGAUGUCGGCUCAUCGCAUCCUGGGGCUGUAGUCGGUCCCAAGGGUUGGGCUGUUCGCCCAUUAAAGCGGUACGCGAGCUGGGUUCAGAACGUCGUGAGACAGUUCGGUCCCUAUCCGUCGUGGGCGUAGGAAAUUUGAGAGGAGCUGUCCUUAGUACGAGAGGACCGGGAUGGACAUACCUCUGGUGUACCAGUUGUCGUGCCAACGGCAUAGCUGGGUAGCUAUGUGUGGACGGGAUAAGUGCUGAAAGCAUCUAAGCAUGAAGCCCCCCUCAAGAUGAGAUUUCCCAACUUCGGUUAUAAGAUCCCUCAAAGAUGAUGAGGUUAAUAGGUUCGAGGUGGAAGCAUGGUGACAUGUGGAGCUGACGAAUACUAAUCGAUCGAAGACUUAAUCAA
rnacentral:rRNA from 1 species